rnacentral:lncRNA from 1 species
CUGCUCUUUACCUAUAGACCGGAUGGCCUGGUACUGGUCUUCUCUAGACUGAAGGUCCUCCACCAGGUCUCCUGCUGCUGCUACCUAAGAAAGAAAUCUCACAAGGGUGUUAAAAGCACUUGGCCCUAAAGAGAAAACACUAGGAGGAUGGGAACCAGGGACAGAGAAGCUACUUGCUCUGCAGCUGUUUGGGCCAAUGAUCCAAUGGCCCCAUCUAGACUGGAGACACCAACUCAUGACUCAGCUGGCCUUGUGGCCCACACCCAGAAGUGGACUCAGUGCAUGAGGACUAUUUUCCACACUCCUAUGAUAGCAUCCCCAACCAAUCAGCAGGACCAUUUCCUAGCCCCUUGCCCACCAAACUAUCUUUUAAAAAACCUGGCUGGGCGCAGUGGCUCACACCUGCAAUCCCAGCACUUUGGGAGUCUGAGGUGGGUGGAUCACGAGGUCAGGAGUUCAAGACCAGCCUGGCUAAGAUGGUGAAACCCUGUCUCUACUAAAAAUACAAAAAAAAUUAGCCGGGCAUGGUGGCAGGCACCUGUAAUCCCAGCUACUUGGGAGGUUGAGGCAGAGAAUUGCUUGAACCCAGAGGCGGAGGUUACAGUGAGCCGAGAUCACUCCACUGCACUCCAGCCUGGAUAACAGAGCAAGACUCUGUCUCAAGGAAAAAAAAAAACAACCUAGCCUCCACAUUUUCAGAGAGGCUCGUUUGAGUAAUAAUAAAACUCUGGUCUCCCAUUUAGCUGGCUCUUCUUGUAUUAAACUCUUUUUCUAUUGCAAUAACCCUGUCUUGAUAAAUUAGCUUCAUCUGGGAAGCAGGCAAGAAGAACUUAUUGGAUGGUUAUAUAGUGGGCUUCUAGCAUGGCCUAGAGAUGCAGAGGCCAUGGCAGAUAAAGCCAACUUCCUCCAACUGAGUAGAGGACUCAGGGGCCCAGAGGAGUCAGAAGGGGAGAUGGGAGCCAAGGAUGAGGAAGAACUCCUGGAAAGGCCUGAGAAAGAAGGACCCUAAGUUUAGCAUCUUAGGUCCCGAAAAAUGGCUGAAGGAGAGGAAAAGAUGGAGAGAAAGAGUAUUGUGACAUGAACCUGCCCCUGUGCCUCGAGUUCCUGGGAGUUUCUUGUUAGCUUCUGUGUCCUGUUUUUCUGUAUCCUCUGCAAAGG